rnacentral:rRNA from 1 species
AGGACGAACGCUGGCGGCGUGCUUAACACAUGCAAGUCGAGCGGAAAGGCCCUUCGGGGUACUCGAGCGGCGAACGGGUGAGUAACACGUGAGUAAUCUGCCCCUAGCUCUGGGAUAGCUCCGGGAAACCGGGAUUAAUACCAGAUACGACCACUUUAGACAUCUCUUGUGGUGGAAAGAAUUUCGGCUGGGGAUGAACUCGCGGCCUAUCAGCUUGUUGGUGGGGUAAUGGCCUACCAAGGCGACGACGGGUA